ACACAUGCAAGUCGAGGGGCAACAUGGUAUCAGCUUGCUGAUACCGAUGGCGACCGGCGCACGGGUGAGUAACGCGUAUGUAAUCUACCUGUAACAGAGGGAUAACCCGGAGAAAUCCGGACUAAUACCUCAUAGCACAUAUUAUUCGCAUGAAUUUUAUGUUAAAGAGACUCGGUUACAGAUGAACAUGCGUUCCAUUAGCUGGUUGGCGGGGUCACGGCCCACCAAGGCAACGAUGGAUAGGGGUUCUGAGAGGAAGGUCCCCCACACUGGUACUGAGACACGGACCAGACUCCUACGGGAGGCAGCAGUGAGGAAUAUUGGUCAAUGGGCGAAAGCCUGAACCAGCCAAGUCGCGUGGAGGAAGACGGCCCUACGGGUUGUAAACUCCUUUUACCUGGGAAUAACGGGCGCUACGCGUAGCGCUGUGCAAGUACCGGGCGAAUAAGCAUCGGCUAAUUCCGUGCCAGCAGCCGCGGUAAUACGGAAGAUGCGAGCGUUAUCCGGAUUUAUUGGGUUUAAAGGGUGCGUAGGCGGAAGAAUAAGUCAGCGGUGAAAUGCUUCAGCUCAACUGGAGAAUUGCCGAUGAAACUGUUUUUCUAGAGUAUAAAAGAGGUAUGCGGAAUGCGUGGUGUAGCGGUGAAAUGCAUAGAUAUCACGCAGAACCCCGAUUGCGAAGGCAGCAUACUGGGCUAUAACUGACGCUGAAGCACGAAAGCGUGGGUAUCGAACAGGAUUAGAUACCCUGGUAGUCCACGCCGUAAACGAUGAAUACUAACUGUUUGCGAUAUAAUGUAAGCGGUACAGCGAA
rnacentral:rRNA from 1 species